CGCGGGGUGGAGCAGUCUGGUAGCUCGUCGGGCUCAUAACCCGGAGGUCUCAGGUUCGAAUCCUGACCCCGCUACCA
rnacentral:tRNA from 1 species